rnacentral:rRNA from 1 species
AUACAGAGGGUGCAAGCGUUAAUCGGAUUUACUGGGCGUAAAGCGCGCGUAGGUGGCUAUUUAGUCAAAUUGGGAAUCCCCCGGCUUAACUUGGGAAUUGCAUUCGAUACUUGUUAGCUUGGGGUUUGGAGGGGGUUGGAAGAUUCCAGGGGUAACGGGUGAAAGCGGAGAGAUCUGGAGGAAUACCGAUGGCGAAGGCAGCCAUCUGGCCUAAUACUGACACUGAGGUGCGAAAGCAUGGGGAGCAAACAGGAUUAGAUACCCUGGUAGUCCAUGCCGUAAACGAUGUCUACUAGCCGUUGGGGCCCUUGAGGCUUUAGUGGCGCAGCUAACGCGAUAAGUAGACCGCCUGGGGAGUACGGUCGCAAGACUAAAACUCAAAUGAAUUGGCGGGG